rnacentral:rRNA from 1 species
ACUGGAGUUUGAUCCUGGCUCAGAUUGAACGCUGGCGGCAGGCCUAACACAUGCAAGUCGAGCGGCAGCGGGAAAGUAGCUUGCUACUUUUGCAGGCGAGCGGCGGACGGGUGAGUAAUGCCUGGGGAUCUGCCCAGUCGAGGGGGAUAACUACUGGAAACGGUAGCUAAUACCGCAUACGCCCUACGGGGGAAAGCAGGGGACCUUCGGGCCUUGCGCGAUUGGAUGAACCCAGGUGGGAUUAGCUAGUUGGUGAGGUAAUGGCUCACCAAGGCGACGAUCCCUAGCUGGUCUGAGAGGAUGAUCAGCCACACUGGAACUGAGACACGGGUCCAGACUCCUACGGGAGGCAGCAGUGGGGGAAUAUUGCACAAUGGGGGAAACCCCUGAUGCAGCCAUGUCGACGUGUGUGAA